rnacentral:rRNA from 1 species
GGACGACGCUGGCGGCGUGCCUAACACAUGCAAGUCGAGCGAGGAGAUCCUUCGGGAUGAUCCUAGCGGCGGACGGGUGAGUAACACGUGGGCAACCUGCCUCAUAGAGAGGAAUAGCCUUCCGAAAGGGAGAUUAAUACCUCAUAACAUUGCAGUUUCGCAUGGAACAGCAAUUAAAGGAGCAAUCCACUAUGAGAUGGGCCCGCGGCGCAUUAGCUAGUUGGUGAGGUAACGGCUCACCAAGGCGACGAUGCGUAGCCGACCUGAGAGGGUGAUCGGCCACAUUGGGACUGAGACACGGCCCAGACUCCUACGGGAGGCAGCAGUGGGGAAUAUUGCACAAUGGGGGAAACCCUGAUGCAAGCAACGCCGCGUGAGUGAUGACGGCCUUCGGGUUGUAAAGCUCUGUCUUCAGGGACGAUAAUGACGGUACCUGAGGAGGAAGCCACGGCUAACUACGUGCCAGCCGCUGC